rnacentral:rRNA from 1 species
GACGAACCGUGCGAACGUUGUUCGGAUUCACUGGGCUUAAAGGGCGCGUAGGCGGACGGUCAAGUCAGGGGUGAAAUCUUUCAGCUCAACUGGAAAAGUGCCUCUGAUACUGAUCGUCUCGAGGGAGGUAGGGGCAUGUGGAACUUCCGGUGGAGCGGUGAAAUGCGUAGAUAUCGGGAAGAACACCCGUGGCGAAGGCGGCUCUCUGGACCGAGACUGACGCUGAGGCGCGAAAGCGUGGGGAGCAAACAGG